rnacentral:rRNA from 1 species
UAGGGAAUCUUCGGCAAUGGACGAAAGUCUGACCGAGCAACGCCGCGUGAGUGAAGAAGGUUUUCUGAUCGUAAAACUCUGUUGUUAGAGAAGAACAAGGACGUUAGUAACUGAACGUCCCCUGACGGUAUCUAACCAGAAAGCCACGGCUAACUACGUGCCAGCAGCCGCGGUAAUACGUAGGUGGCAAGCGUUGUCCGGAUUUAUUGGGCGUAAAGCGAGCGCAGGCGGUUCCUUAAGUCUGAUGUGAAAGCCCCCGGCUCAACCGGGGAGGGUCAUUGGAAACUGGGAGACUUGAGUGCAGAAGAGGAGAGUGGAAUUCCAUGUGUAGCGGUGAAAUGCGUAGAUAUAUGGAGGAACACCAGUGGCGAAGGCGGCUCUCUGGUCUGUAACUGACGCUGAGGCUCGAAAGCGUGGGGAGCAAACAGG